CCUACGGGUGACAGCAGUGAGGAAUAUUGGUCAAUGGCCGUAAGGCUGAACCAGCCAAGUAGCGUGAGGGAAGACUGCCCUAUGGGUUGUAAACCUCUUUUAUGCGGGGAUAAAGGUGUCCACGUGUGGAUGUUUGCAGGUACCGCAUGAAUAAGGACCGGCUAAUUCCGUGCCAGCAGCCGCGGUAAUACGGAAGGUCCGGGCGUUAUCCGGAUUUAUUGGGUUUAAAGGGAGCGUAGGCCGGUCUUUAAGCGUGCCGUGAAAUUUUGUGGCUCAACCAUGAGAGUGCGGCGGAAACUGGAGGCCUUGAGUGCACGAAAGGCAGGCGGAAUUCGUGGUGUAGCGGUGAAAUGCUUAGAUAUCACGAAGAACCCCGAUUGCGAAGGCAGCCUGCCGCAGCGUUACUGACGCUGAAGCUCGAAAGCGCGGGUAUCGAACAGGAUUAGAUACCCUAGUAGUC
rnacentral:rRNA from 1 species